rnacentral:rRNA from 1 species
UACGUAGGGGGCAAGCGUUGUCCGGAUUUAUUGGGCGUAAAGAGCGUGUAGGCGGCCAAACAGGUCAGCUGUGAAAACUCGAGGCUCAACCUCGAGACGUCGGUUGAAACCGUUUGGCUAGAGUCCGGAAGAGGAGAGUGGAAUUCCCGGUGUAGCGGUGAAAUGCGCAGAUAUCGGGGAAAGAACACCCGUGGCUAAGGCGGCUCUCUAGUACGGUACUGACGCUGAGACGCGAAAGCGUGGGGAGCGAACAGG